UACGUAGGUGGCGAGCGUUAUCCGGAAUUACUGGGCGUAAAGGGCACGCAGGCGGCCUUUCAAGUCUGACGUGAAAGCUCCUGGCUUAACUGGGAGAGGUCGUUGGAAACUGAGGGGCUUGAGGCGAUGAGAGGGGUGCGGAAUUCCCGGUGUAGUGGUGGAAUGCGUAGAUAUCGGGAGGAACACCAGUGGCGAAAGCGGCGCCCUAGCAUCGGCCUGACGCUCAUGUGCGAAAGCGUGGGGAGCGAACGGG
rnacentral:rRNA from 1 species